AUGUGGUCUCCAUGCGGUCGGGGUGAGGUCUUGACCAGGCUGACAGGUGGAGAAGCUUGGCGUGCCUUGAUGAGAUCUUCCUCAUGUCCAUCACCCUAGGCCGCAAGCGGCGCCAUUGGCUUCUUUGCCAACACAGGGUCUGCUCCGCCAACGUUGUUGUCAAUUGUGUAUUUGAGCAUGUUGAUUUUGUGUGUGAUGUGUAAUCUGCAAGACUGCAACAGUUGAUCCUAUGUUGAUGACAGUAAUACUAUGGGAGGGAGGGAGAAGCUACGAGCAUUGGCCCAUUGUCAUGGAUCAUCCCAGCAGACUGUGUGCCACCAAGUAGUAGAUGAUUGGCUGCUACAUCCAGAGACGCUUGCCAAGGUGCCACAACGAGGAAUAGGCCAUGAAGAAGACAUAAUUUUCCCCAUUUUGUUUGUUGGCUCUGUACUCUCAAGAAACUAGCUUCCAGAGUGCAUGGAGGCCUGAGGAAGUUGCUCACUACUAAUGUCAGAAUCCACAUGAAUCAUCUAUGCAGGUCCUGUACUGCUUCGAACUGCAAGGAACUGGCAGUACAACCUGAUCUUAAUGGUUUUCUUGUCAGUGGAGCUUCAUUGAAGCAUAGCUGAUAUGAAUCUGGCAUUUUUUUAUUGUGUGCAACGAUGCAAAGUAUGGCCUCAUAAGAUCCUUCGAUACAUCGCGAGCAACGAUGCAGCGUGGCUUAGUUGUUUUGUGUCUUUUGGCUUCAAACCAUCUUUUUGAAGAGAAAAAGGGUCUCAACCUUGGAUCUGCAUAUGAAUUUAGCUGAUAUGAUUUUUUGGGGCAAGUUUUGUUUUCUGUGUUGUUUCAUCAUUGAUGCAGCAGUACCAUUCAUUUGAUAUAUUGCCCUUAAUGGUUCCGAUGUUGACCACUUAUAAAAGGUAUCAUGCAUCUAUCUAUCUAUACUUCUAAAGCUGGCUGGUCAUCCAGCCAGCUGAUUGGACCA